rnacentral:lncRNA from 1 species
CGUGUGUGUUGGGGGAUAUUCUUUCAGUCUUAACAGAGCGGAGGUCCCUGUGCUCCUUCUUUUAGUCUAGAGAGGAGAAGAGAGCGAGACCAGACUGCUAUUGUGUAGUGAGCUGUGUGUUACAGGGGAUAUUCUUUAGUGUUGGUAGAGGGGAUAUGCUUUUAGUGUUGGUGUGGGGGAUAUUCUUUAGUGUUUUAGUGGGGAUAUUCUUUAGUGUUGUAGUGGGGAUAUUCUUUAGUGUUGGUAUGGGAUAUUCUUUAGUGUUGGUAGUGGGGAUAUUCUUUAGUGUUGGUAGUGGGGAUAUUCUUUAGUGUUGGUAGUGGGGAUAUUCUUUAGUGUUGGUAGUGGGGAUAUUCUUUAGUGUUGGUAGUGGGGAUUUCUUUAGUGUUGGUUAGUGGGGAUAUUCUUUAGUGUUGGUA